UCGAGGGGUAUUGGUUUUCGGACCAGAGACCGGCGCACGGGUGCGUAACGCGUAUGCAAUCUACCUUUCACAGAGGGAUAGCCCAGAGAAAUUUGGAUUAAUACCUCAUAGUAUGCAGAGUCGGCAUCAACACUGCAUUAAAGUCACAACGGUGAAAGAUGAGCAUGCGUCCCAUUAGCUAGUUGGUAAGGUAACGGCUUACCAAGGCUACGAUGGGUAGGGGUCCUGAGAGGGAGAUCCCCCACACUGGUACUGAGACACGGACCAGACUCCUACGGGAGGCAGCAGUGAGGAAUAUUGGUCAAUGGGCGCAAGCCUGAACCAGCCAUGCCGCGUGCAGGAUGACGGUCCUAUGGAUUGUAAACUGCUUUUGUACAGGAAGAAACAACAUUACGUGUAAUGUCUUGACGGUACUGUAAGAAUAAGGAUCGGCUAACCCCGUGCCAGCAGCCGCGGUAAUACGGAGGAUCCAAGCGUUAUCCGGAAUCAUUGGGUUUAAAGGGUCCGUAGGCGGUUUAGUAAGUCAGUGGUGAAAGCCCAUCGCUCAACGGUGGAACGGCCAUUGAUACUGCUAGACUUGAAUUAUUAGGAAGUAACUAGAAUAUGUAGUGUAGCGGUGAAAUGCUUAGAGAUUACAUGGAAUACCAAUUGCGAAGGCAGGUUACUACUAAUGGAUUGACGCUGA
rnacentral:rRNA from 1 species